rnacentral:rRNA from 1 species
AACGAACGCUGGCGGCAGGCUUAACACAUGCAAGUCGAGCGCCUCGCAAGGGGAGCGGCAGACGGGUGAGUAACGCGUGGGAAUCUACCCAUCUCUACGGAAUAACGCAUGGAAACGUGUGCUAAUACCGUAUACGUCCCUCGGGAGAAAGAUUUAUCGGAGAUGGAUGAGCCCGCGUUGGAUUAGCUAGUUGGUGGGGUAAAGGCCUACCAAGGCGACGAUCCAUAGCUGGUCCGAGAGGAUGAUCAGCCACACUGGGACUGAGACACGGCCCAGACUCCUACGGGAGGCAGCAGUGGGGAAUAUUGGACAAUGGGCGCAAGCCUGAUCCAGCCAUGCCGCGUGAGUGAUGAAGGCCCUAGGGUUGUAAAGCCCUUUCACCGGUGAAGAUAAUGACGGUAACCGGAGAAGAAGCCCCGGCUAACUUCGUGCCAGCCGCCGCAGUAAUAC